GACGAACGCUGGCGGCGUGCCUAAUACAUGCAAGUAGAACGCUGAAGGAGGAGCUUGCUUCUCUGGAUGAGUUGCGAACGGGUGAGUAACGCGUAGGUAACCUGCCUGGUAGCGGGGGAUAACUAUUGGAAACGAUAGCUAAUACCGCAUAAUAGCAGUUGUUGCAUGACAACUGUUUGAAAGGUGCAAUUGCACCACUACCAGAUGGACCUGCGUUGUAUUAGCUAGUUGGUGGGGUAACGGCUCACCAAGGCGACGAUACAUAGCCGACCUGAGAGGGUGGUCGGCCACACUGGGACUGAGACACGGCCCAGACUCCUACGGGAGGCAGCAGUAGGGAAUCUUCGGCAAUGGACGGAAGUCUGACCGAGCAACGCCGCGUGAGUGAAGAAGGUUUUCGGAUCGUAAAGCUCUGUUGUAAGAGAAGAACGAGUGUGAGAGUGGAAAGUUCACACUGUGACGGUAUCUUACCAGAAAGAGACGGCUAACUACGUG
rnacentral:rRNA from 1 species